rnacentral:rRNA from 1 species
GACGAACGCUGGCGGCGUGCUUAACACAUGCAAGUCGAGCGGUAAGGCCCUUUCGGGGGUACACGAGCGGCGAAUGGGUGAGUAACACGUGGGUGACCUGCCCUCAGCUCUGGGAUAAGCCUGGGAAACCGGGUCUAAUACCGGAUAUGACUCCAUGACGCAUGUUGUGGGGUGGAAAGCCUUGUGCGGCUGAGGAUGGGCCCGCGGCCUAUCAGCUUGUUGGGGGGUGAUGGCCUACCAAGGCGACGACGGGUAGCCGGCCUGAGAGGGCGACCGGCCACACUGGGACUGAGACACGGCCCAGACUCCUACGGGAGGCAGCAGUGGGGAAUCUUGCGCAAUGGGCGAAAGCCUGACGCAGCGACGCCGCGUGAGGGAUGACGGCCUGG